rnacentral:tRNA from 1 species
GGGGCCAUGGCUCAGUGAUUGAGCACCUUCUUGGAAAGCAGAAGUUCCAGGUUUAAUCCCUGCCAUCUCCA